GAUAAGACAUGCAAGUCGAACGCUUAUUUCAAGGUAGCAAUAUUUUGGAAUGGGAGUGGCGUAAGGGUGCGUAACACGUGGGUAAUUUGCCAUGAAGUUGGGGAUAACUCGCUGAAAGGCGAGCUAAUACCGAAUGUGACUGUUUGGGGGCAUCCCCGGAUAGUUGAAGUUGGGGACCGCAAGGCCUGACGCUUCAUGAUAAGCCCGCGGCCUAUCAGCUAGUUGGUGAGGUAACGGCCCACCAAGGCUAAGACGGGUAGCUGGUCUGAGAGGACGACCAGCCACACUGGAACUGAGACACGGUCCAGACACCUACGGGUGGCAGCAGUCGAGAAUUUUUCUCAAUGGGCGAAAGCUUGAAGGAGCGACGCCGCGUGGGGGAUGAAGGGCUUCGGUCUGUAAACCCCUGUCAUUUGCGAACAAACCUUUUUACUAAAUAAGUAAGAAGCUGAUAGUAGCGAAAGAGGAAGGGACGGCUAACUCUGUGCCAGCAGCCGCGGUAAUACAGAGGUCCCAAGCGUUGUUCGGAUUCACUGGGCGUAAAGGGUGCGUAGGUGGCGGGGCAAGUUUGAUGUGAAAUCUCCGAGCUCAACUCGGAAACGGCAUUAAAUACUGCUUUGCUUGAAGGUCGGAGGGGAGACUGGAAUUCUCGGUGUAGCGGUGAAAUGCGUAGAUAUCGAGAGGAACACCGGUGGCGAAAGCGAGUCUCUGGACGAUUCUUGACACUGAGGCACGAAAGCUAGGGGAGCAAACAGGAUUAGAUACCCUGGUAGUCCUAGCCGUAAACGGUGCACAUUUGCCGUGAGAGGAAUCGACCCCUUUCGUGGCGUAGCUAACGCGAUAAGUGUGCCGCCUGGGAAGUACGGUC
rnacentral:rRNA from 1 species